AGACGGCGGGGUAAAAGCGCCGCGCGGCAGAAGCGGCCAAGGAAGGGCCGCGGGACCCGCAGCCAUUUUUCUGCAGUGGAGCGAAAUGGCCAAACUGGGCUUUUCCUUUGUUCCACAAAGAGGGGAAUCCGCCAUGUGAAUCCGCACCGCGCGCGGUGGUGGGAGCCUCCAUAGCGCGGGUGCCAGACGACCCACUGAAGAAGGAAGAUUUAUAAAAAUAAUGCCAAGCCCUUAACCAAAAAAAAAAAAAAAAAAUUUAAUGCGGACUUUUUUUUUUUUUCUCUCCUCCCUUAUGAUUCGGGAUCCAUCUUUGUCUUGUGUAACUAGGUCACGGCACACCCUAUGUCAGCAGUUAACAGUUUCGAAUGCCAACCAAAAAAAAAAGUAAAUACAUGAUUUUUAUAUUUUUUUUCGUUGUUUUGGGGGUUUUUAAGCUUUAAGCAGCUUGAUGGCUGAACAAUAAAUUUGAGAGAUUUAUCUCCUGUGUUAAACACUUGAUUCCUGGCCAUUUUUAUUAACUCCUUUGGUGCUUAAAAGAGGAACAUAUAGCCCAGGCCUGUGGCUAAUGGUAUUGUCCUGGGUGGAAAGAUCCCAAUGGUCGUCUGAAAGCGGUGGUGAUCUCCUUCUCCUCAGAAACAUCUAACAGUGCCUCUGAAACGUCUGUUCUCAGGGAGGGAUUUGAUUUCUCUUUCUGCACAAAGCUCUUGGUCCGUCCUCAGCCCUGGGUGGUUUGGUUUUUUAUGCGGAGAAACGCUGUGGAUCCAUUGCAGGCGUUACGUGGCUGUUAACUUGAAAGCACAAAAAAAAAAAUAAAAAAUCUGCCUGUGAAA